GUGCCAGCCGCCGCGGUAAUACGGAGGGUGCAAGCGUUGUCCGGAAUCACUGGGCGUAAAGGGUGCGCAGGCGGGGCAGCAAGUCGGAGGUGAAAGCCCGUGGCUCAACCACGGAAGUGCCUUCGAAACUGUUGCUCUUGAGUCCCGGAGAGGUUGAUGGAAUUCGUGGUGUAGCGGUGAAAUGCGUAGAUAUCACGAGGAACACCAGAGGCGAAAGCGCGCAACUUGACGGGUACUGACGCUCAGGCACGAAGGCGCGGGGAGCAAACAGGAUUAGAAACCCCUGUAGUCC
rnacentral:rRNA from 1 species